UGUAGCAGAGAAGGGGCGUAGAAAAGCAAGCUACUACACCUGUCACUCAUGCCCUUAACCAGGGUAAUGAUGCAGCUGUAGGAAGUGGAACAGAGCAGACAGGUUAUUUCAGAAUAAGAGUUUAUCUGAGGAAUUGUCAGUGCUAUAUUAGCUGAGUAGUAAUACUACUGAAGCUUUUGCUGUCCAAACCAUAUGAGAUCUUGAACUGCACCUGACAACAAUGUGGCCUUCUUAUGAUGUAUUACUUAAGCCUCUGAUCUGUUGGGUGAAGUUAACAAAGGCAGACUGCUCGUGUCUCUGCAUUCCAUGCUAGGAUUGUUUUUUGACUGCAGCUGUAUUUGUGUCAUCCCAUCGUCUGUCCCACCC